UGAUAGCUAUGAAGCGUGAGGUUGCUACCAAGCGAAAGCGAAGGUAGGUUUUCCGUGGAGCGAAUGUCAGAUAAUAUGACGACAA
rnacentral:ncRNA from 1 species